rnacentral:rRNA from 1 species
GAUGAACGCUGGCGGCGUGCCUAAUACAUGCAAGUCGAGCGAACAGAUAAGGAGCUUGCUCCUUUGAAGUUAGCGGCGGACGGGUGAGUAACACGUGGGUAACCUACCUAUAAGACUGGGAUAACUUCGGGAAACCGGAGCUAAUACCGGAUAACAUUUAGAACCGCAUGGUUCUAAAGUGAAAGAUGGUUUUGCUAUCACUUAUAGAUGGACCCGCGCCGUAUUAGCUAGUUGGUAAGGUAACGGCUUACCAAGGCGACGAUACGUAGCCGACCUGAGAGGGUGAUCGGCCACACUGGAACUGAGACACGGUCCAGACUCCUACGGGAGGCAGCAGUAGGGAAUCUUCGGCAAUGGGCGAAAGCCUGACGGAGCAACGCCGCGUGAGUGAUGAAGGGUUUCGGCUCGUAAAACUCUGUUAUUAGGGAAGAACAAAUGUGUAAGUAACUGUGCACAUCCUGACGGUACCUAAUCAGAAAGCCACGGCUAACUACGUG